GACACAGCCGCUUGGAUCUCACCGUGCGGCCCGCGGCUUCAUCAGAUCGCCAUCGCCGCCGCUCCACAGCCACAAAGCCGCCGCCUUUCGAGCCCGCCUGCCCUUCCGCGCUCAGGCACCGCCCUGCCGCCGCCGACUCUCCUCCAUGGCCGCCGGCGCGUGGCCGGCGGCCGCCGCGGCGGUGGCGCGCGCGGCGGCGCGCACGCUCGGGCGCCUCGUCCCCCGCACCCACACCCACUCCACCGCCGCCACCACCACCUCCUCCCCCUCCUCCUCCCCGGCGCACACCCUGGACGACUACAACCGCCUGCUGGCGGCCCUGGCGCGGGACGGGGACGGCGAGUCGGCGCUGCGCGUGCUCCGCCGCAUGCGCCACGGCUCGCCCGCGGCCUGCGCGCCCACAGCCGCCUCCUACGUCUCCGCCAUGUCGGCGCUCGCCAAGGCCGGCCGCGCCGCCGACGCCACGGCGCUCUUCGACGACAUGCUCGCGCACGGCGUGGCGCCCGACCGCCGCGCCUACUCGCUCCUCCUCCACGUCUACUCCACCCACCUCGGCCUCCCCGCCGCCGGCCUCUCCGUGCUGCACUGGAUGGCCGGCCUCGGCGUCCGCCCCAGCGCCGUCGACUACGCAGACCUCAUCUUCUCCUUCUGCCGCGCGGGCCAGCUCCCGGACGCGCUCCAGCUGCUCGACGAAAUGCGCGAGCUCGGCUACCCGCUCCCCCCGCACGUCUACUCGCCGAUACUCCAGGCCCACUGCGACGCCGCCGACAUCCCGGCCGCCGAGGCGCUCAUCGCCUUCAUGCGCGCCUCCGGGGGCCGCUCCGGGUGCAACCCCGACGUCCUCAUCUACAACAUCUACAUCCACGGGCUGUGCAGGGUCGGGGAUUUCCACGCCGUGCAGAGGGUCAUCAACGACAGCGUCUGGAACUGGUGGGUGCCGGACGCGGUGACCUACAGCACCUACGUUGCCGGGCUCUGCCGGGCUGGGUACAUCGAGGACGCGUUCAGGCAGCUGGACAUCAUGGUCGCCAAGGGGCUACAGCUCACCGUGAUCGGCCUCAACAUACUGCUGGAUUACGCCGCCAAGGAUGUAGACAUGUGGGUUGCCAAGGUGGUGAUGGAGCGCUGCGAAGAGCUGGGCUUCGAGGUCGACGUCGUGACGUACAACACGGUCAUGGAACAUUUCUCCAAGAAGAUGCAGUGGCUGAUUGCCCUCAGGCUGUUCACCGAUCUGCUCAAGAAGCCCAUAACACCCGAUGUGCAGACGUACAACAUCUUGAUCUCAUCCCUGUGCCGAGCCGGCAAGUUUGAGCUCGCCAAGUUCGUCUUCAGUUGCAACGGGUUUGUGGCGGACACUGUGACCUGUAACAUUCUGAUCCAUCAGUUCUACUGUGCUGGAAAGGAGGGCGAGCUCGGGUUCUUGUUCUCUGAUGUUGACGCAGGGAAGAUUACCCCAGAUACAAUCACAUACAACACGCUGGUCGAUUGCCUCUUUAGGUCUGGGAGGAGGACUGAGGCUGCCAAUCUGGUCAGGCACAUCGACGGCGGCUACCCUGCGGAGCCUGUAGCGCAUCUGGCUUUCUGGUUGGUUACGAGCGGAAAUGUUCGAGAGGCUUUGAGUCUGUUUGAUGACAUGCUAGUGAAAGGAGUCGCUUUAGAUGCUAUCGUUUUCGCCAAUGUGAUCAAGGCAUUCUGCAGAAAGGGUCCAGGGGAGUGCACAGAUAUGACACAGCUGUGCUCUGUGCUGGAUAGGAUGCUUGGGAUUGGAUGAUCCUUAUCUUGCUCUCUUGCUGAUAUUGGUUGGUCUUAUUUUUGAACUUGUCCUGUUGUAUCACUAGGAGAUAGCAACUGAAAGUAAAACACCUGUUCUGGUCAUCUAAUUCGUCAACAGCAGAACUUAGCAAGCCAUAGGAAGUUCCAAUAAGGAUGUCCGAAUUUCCAUCACCAUCCAAAUCAACCACAGUUGGAGAUGAAUUUGCAUGGGCACAGAAGCUCCUGUCUCCGAUACUCAAAUCGAGGCCACAUGGAGCUCAGGUUCACACUAAAGCAACCAGACCAACUUUAGAUGAGUUCACUACAUUUUAUACAUUCUUCUGCUUGUCAAACACCAGAUUCUUCUGCUAAAGGAUGGAAACAUGACCAAAUGUAUCAGGAUAGGGAAUCACAUUCUUCUGCUUAUCGAACACCAGAUUCAAAUACGACGAGUUCACUACAUUUUAUAGAUCAACGAGCAGAGGGUCCAGUGGAGUGCACAGAUAUGAUUCAACUGUGUGUUCUGUGCUGGAUAGGGUGCUUUGGAUUGGAUGAUCCUUCUCCUGCUCUCUUGCUCUGAUGGUUCUCUUUUGCCACUUUAGAUGGCAGUGGCCUCAAUUCUGAACUUGUAUUGUUGUAUCAGCAGGGGACGGAAAUCGAUAGUAAAACACCAUUUUGGUCUUCUUUAUGCAGUACAUAUAUCAGCAUAAUAUAAUCUGUCACACAGAAAUCUGUUAUGUUCCUUUCUUCAAAUUUCUUUUUAAUGUCAAAGCAUGCUCUAACUUGGCAUCAAUAUGCCAAAAGUUUUGGCCAUCUGAUUUGGUAUCAUUGUCAAAGCUCUAACUUGUUACUCUUGACAGUCUUCGGAGUCGUUGGACCCGAUCAACUGUAUGUCAUAGGACUCACUUAUAGUUCUGGCUAGUCACAUUUUCACCAGAUAUUCUUCUUUCAUGAUUAACAUGGCAGUGAAUAUGUCGUUGUCUAACGAAAUAGUCAUGCUGCAAGGAAAUAAUGGGCGUAAAAGUACCAGCUGGAAUCUAUAUAUUCCUGAUAGAUGUUGUAACCAUUGUAAUUUGUAGCCAUUUGUGUGCUAAUAA